rnacentral:lncRNA from 1 species
AUGUCAGCUGGAGGACCUUGGGGAAGUCACUCCACUUCUCUGGGCCUCAGUUCCCUCAUCUGUCAAAUGGGGAUGAAGACUGGGAGCCCCACGUGGGACGACCUGGUGACCCUGUCUCCACCCCAGCGUUUAGAACAGGGCUUGGCGCAUAGGAAAGGCCUCAAAGACAGGAUUAUUAGUACUUGGCUUUGCGCAUGCCCGAGAAAACGUCUGUUCUCUGCCGGCCUCGCUGGCGCCGGGUGUCUGCGCAUGUGCACGGUUGGAGCCGGCCCCGUCGGCCAAGGAGCGUCUGCGCAUGUGCGCGACUGGCGCCCGUCGGGUUGGGCCAGCAGCGUCUGCGCAUGUGCAAGACAGCCGGCGCGCCACAGCCACCCGUCCUUCAGGGCUGCCCGAGUUGGCCGAGGAGCGUCUGCGCAUGUGCACGACCAGAGUUGGCCGAGGGGCGUCUGCGCAUGUGCGCGACCGGAGCCGGCCGAGUUGGCCGAGGAGAGUCUGCGCAUGUGCACGAUUGGAGCCGGCCGAGUUGGCCGAGGAGAAUCUGCGCAUGUGCACGAUUGGAGCCGGCCGGCUGGGCCGAGGAGAGUCUGCGCAUGUGCACGACCGGAGCCGGCCGGGUCGGCCGAGGAGGACUGCGCAUGUGCAAGACCGGAACCGGCCGGGUCGGCCGAGGAGAGUCUGCGCAUGUGCACGAUUGGAGCCGGCCGGGUCGGCCGAGGAGCGACUGCGCAUGUACACGAUUGGAGCCGGCCGGGUCGGCCGAGGAGCGACUGCGCAUGUGCACGACCGGAGCCGGCCGGGUCGGCCGAGGAGGACUGCGCAUGUGCACGACCGGAGCCGGCCGGGUCGGCCGAGGAGGACUGCGCAUGUGCACGACCGGAACCGGCCGGGUCGGCCGAGGAGAGUCUGCGCAUGUGCACGAUUGGAGCCGGCCGGGUCGGCCGAGGAGCGACUGCGCAUGUACACGAUUGGAGCCGGCCGGGUCGGCCGAGGAGCGACUGCGCAUGUGCACGACCGGAGCCGGCCGGGUCGGCCGAGGAGUAUCUGCGCAUGUGCACGAUUGGAGCCGGCCGGGUUGGCCGAGGAGCGUCUGCGCAUGUGCAAGACAGCCGGCGAGCCCUCCGCCCUCCCCCAGCGGUCCUCCAGGCGGGGAGCCGGCCGGGUUUGCGGCUGCGCAAACGGCCGUGA